rnacentral:rRNA from 1 species
UACGUAGGUGGCAAGCGUUGUCCGGAAUUAUUGGGCGUAAAGCGCGCGCAGGCGGUCCUUUAAGUCUGAUGUGAAAGCCCACGGCUCAACCGUGGAGGGUCAUUGGAAACUGGGGGACUUGAGUGCAGGAGAGAAGAGUGGAAUUCCACGUGUAGCGGUGAAAUGCGUAGAGAUGUGGAGGAACACCAGUGGCGAAGGCGACUCUUUGGCCUGUAACUGACGUUGAGGCGCGAAAGCGUGGGGAGCAAACAGG